AGAUCCCUGCCUACCUGAGGCUUUCUAAGGCUGGAUUUUCUGAAGUGCGAUUUAAUGCUUACAACUGCAACCGAAAUCAUGGCAACUGUUCUUUGAAUAUACUCAUGGCUAUAAAAAAGGUCUCUCUUGCCCCUAAAGGAUGAAUUUUUCAAAUGGCAGAAGAGGUGAACUGCACUGUUAAUUAAAAAGUAAGAAAAUCAUCAUAGUGCUUGCUUUAAAACUAGUGGAAAAUAGCUUGGUUUUGGUUGGGGUCUCGUGAAUGCAGUUGAAGUGAAAAUGUCAAUCUUCAUGGAAGAUUUUUCUACCUGUGAGCUGUUUUCUGUGGGUUUAACCUGCAAUCAAAGUACUCUGAUCUUCACUUUCAAGAGCUAUGUAAUGGCAGUUGAAUGUAUUAUGCUCCCAAACGAUACCUAUUGUCAAUGUUCUGCAAAGCUCUGUUUACAUUCUAUGCUUUUGUCAUUGUUUAUUUAUGUCAGUACUAUGAGGCUUAGGCAGACUGGUUCUUUAUUCCAGUUAUCAGUACCUUAAACUAGCUAAGCAGGAUUAGUCAGCAAGAUGAUAAACAAGUCUCUUGUGUUAAGGAUGUACCAGUGAUCACUGUGUUGCUACUGUUGAUGAAAACAGUGUUGGAAAUUACUCAGCAGAGCAGUAGGAACCACUUGAUAUCUUCAAAAGGAUACUCCAGAGCUAAUCUGCCCACCAAUUUUAAAGGCCAUUAUCUGUAAUAGUAUAUCAUGUUUUGUGUGUAAAGAGAAUUUAUGAGUAAAAAGUAGUUUUUCAUUUGCUUUUUAUCAUAAAAAGACAGUAAUGCUAGCAGAAAUAACUACACUUGCUAUGCAUUUGAAUUCUAUUUAACUAGUCAGCAAAGAACAAUUUUGCUAAAACCCCAACAAAAUAUUCUGAAAUGAUCAUUCUGAAUAAUCCAACAUGGCUUUGCAUUUUUACCAGCAUCUCCAUAAACUCAAUAUGGCAUUGGUGACAAUUUACCACAAUAUCAGCCACAAAGUGUCAUUUACAAUUAUUCUUUUAGCAAUUUAUUGUAAGUAAUGAAAUAAUUAAUCAGAGAUAAAUCAGGUUAAAUAUCUCUAAAUGGUAAAACUUGA